rnacentral:rRNA from 1 species
UACGUAGGGCGCAAGCGUUGUCCGGAUUUAUUGGGCGUAAAGAGCUCGUAGGCGGUCCGUCACGUCGGCUGUGAAAACCCGAGGCUCAACCUCGGGCCUGCAGUCGAUACGGGCAGACUAGAGUGCGGUAGGGGAGACUGGAAUUCCUGGUGUAGCGGUGAAAUGCGCAGAUAUCAGGAGGAACACCGGUGGCGAAGGCGGGUCUCUGGGCCGUAACUGACGCUGAGGAGCGAAAGCGUGGGGAGCGAACAGG